GAUUAACUGUGAAGACAGAUUUGUUCCAUAAAUGGGGGUCCCAUUAAGCAACAUGACUGCUGGCUGCAAAGCAACACACUCUGGUCUCAUCCAUACCCAUAGACAACAUAGCUGAAACUACGUUAGAGAGCUGAAGUUAUCAGUGCUCCACUUCUUCCUGAAGCUGAUGCUAGCAUUUCUUCCCCUUGUAACUUGUUAUGUAAACAUUUUUGUUUUGUUUUGUUUUAAAGUGCAGGGAAAGACACGCAACUGAGGGCAGCCAGUUUUGCCAGUCCUUCCUGACUGAGAGCAUCUGGGAGCUCCAGGCUGCAGUGGAGCUUUAUGAAUUAACAAGUGAGGUUCUCAACGCUAAGGUGAGAAAUGCUAUAACAAAGUCAUAGGUAGGUAAAUGUAUAUAUGCAUUUAAUUCAUAGAGGGAUUUUUGGCACUUAACAAAAAGGACUGAAGGAGACUAGCUGGAAAUAUCCACAUAGGUGUCACUGAGGAUGAAUCUAUCAAAGUCACACCUCUACCCUCAACAAGUGAUGAUAACUACAGGUGUUUGAGAAGCAGCAUGAUGCAAAGGAUAUGAUACAAUAAUGGACUGCAAAAGGCCUAGAUGUUAAUCCGAACAACAUGACUGUCCAAGUGACAUUCAACUAAGAAAUCUAUGUCCUCUGUUCUGCAAGUUUACUCUCUGUAGUAAAGUAAAAAUACUGGUAUAAUGGAAAGUGUUAAUGGCUAUUGUCAAGUGUUGAUGAAUAGAUUAUAAAUCACAUUCAAGUUUGUGAGCUUUCUAGGCAUCUUGCAGGAUAAAUGAAAUACACAAGAGAGCUCUUUUAGGGAAUAAAAUAACUGGAAACAGUAGAAGGUGUGGUCCUUGGCCGAGUAAAACUUAACUCAUGCUUGCCAAGACAUUUCCUUGUGCACUGGCUGCUUGCAAGUAUGGGAGCAAACAGAAAGGUGAAACUGCAGUAAAUAUAUGGCUAUGAAAUCAAGACUGGAUGCCUAAUUACAGGACUGUCUGUGAACUGAAAAGAGAAAUGCCACGAAUUUGCUUCCUACUUUUUUUUCCUCCUCUAGGCUGAGAAGCAGAGCACUAUCCACAGUAUUUAUAAGCAAGAAGCAUUCCACCAAAAAUAUGGGAGGUAAGCCAAAACAGCCUCUAUUACCAAUCAGCAAUAAUCUAUUUCCUGAGAUCUCAGCACGACAAUACUAUUAUCUUGAAAGUGAAAGAGUAUACGAAUGGUUCCCUCUGCCAAGACUGACCUAGUAUUAACUAGGGAAAAAUUGAUCCUAGUUAGACAGCAUAUCUUCUAUCAGGUUUUGAUGCUGAUAGUUCGGAAAUUAUCAUAUGAAUUAGUGAUUUAAAAUAUAGUCAUUUUUAAAUGCAUCUGCCUUGAAAAAUGUUGGAACGCUAAAAAUUAUUAUCUGGAAGAGAUGUUAUUAUACAGAAACAUAAUACUUAAAACAUCCCUACAAUUAUGUUAGAAAAAAACACCAAACUAUUUCAUGUCUCAUUUUGCUUCAAGUAGACAGCAAGGAACGGGACAAAGAAAGACCUGAGACACUGAGAUGAAAUGGUAAGACAGUGGGAGAAAACUGGAUAAAAAAAGAAGAGAUUUGGGAGCUUUUACAAGUCUGUGAGAUGAGCAUGGGACUGCUCCUCAUUCUGUGGCUGUAAAGGUAUAAAGACUGUUGUUACAUGCUCUUCUAAAUUGUGCUGAAAGACCUAAAUAUUUGCUGAGGGACAAAUUGGGAAGAGUAAUAUAUGGCCUACAGAGCUUGAUCCCAAAGAAGAAAAGUUUCCGUUGAAAAUAUAGAGAGAAACCCUUAGGUUUCCAAACAGCACAGAGAUCCUGCCCUAUCUCAAAGAUACUGCAGUGCACUUUUUAUGGUUAGAUCAGUGCAAGCUUAUUUCAGACAAAAACCUCAGCUUCACUUUUAGAAUUUUUAUUAAGCUCUGGCUGAAGCAGUUGCAGGGCUGGCAAGGUUCUGCAUAGCUCGUUUUCACUUCGUGAGGUUUUAUAGAUAUGUUUUGGAUGUAUGCUGAGCAAAAAUUUUUAAUAGUGACAGGAUAAAAGAAGAAAUAUUCCCAUUUGUGGUAACCCAACAUUACUCUUCUACAAAGUGACUCCUCUCAGUUUUUGUCCAUCCAUAAAAACUACAGUGGUGUCAGAAGGGCUGUCAUAGAAACUGUUUUCAACAGCACGGCUGCAUCAGCAACCACAGCUCACAGUAGCCUCACUAGACCAACUCCACAACCACACUGAGACAAUAGUAGCCAAAACUGCUGAAACGAAUGGAGCAAAUCUAGCUUCAUACAGGCAUAACAGAAGAAUUCCCCAGGAUGAUAGAAGACACAGAAAAUUUGUCAGUGUGCUCAUCUAAAUCAAUGUCAGUUAACUGCUCUUGUUGUAAGGAAGGACUCAGUUUUUGAGUCCUAUUAUCAUUAUGCAAUACCAUCAGUGCCUCAGCUCCAACCUCAAGGCAACUGUUGAUGACUCUGGGGCUAUUGUGAGGGAACGGAUGUUUUUAUGAUGCACUGUUCAGACUGGUGAGGCCAUUCCCCUCAUUCACACUCACCUACUCCAGGCAUCUUCCCUCCAAGCUACAGCUCUUUCCAUUGGUAUCACAUAGACUAUACAGGACACAAACUCCCUUAUGCUGGUCCUACACAACUUACCAGCUAUGCUGAUUUUUUUUCCUGCUGUUAAGUCUCAGCUCCCCCUACCACCAUGCAGCCUCAGCUGUGCAUCCUCGUUCUUACUCAAAUGAAAUUCUGCAUUCUUUUGAUGGGGUGCAGAGGGAAAGAAAAUACGGAAGAGACCUACUAAGUCUUAAGGAUAAGGUGCAGAAGAGGAGUAGCCUGAAAAGAGCAACGCGGCUAUGGAUAAGAACAACUGCCUCAGUUCACUAAUAUCAUAAUACCCAGAUACAGAAACAGGGAGAACACCCUCCAGCAGAGACAAAGCAAUUCCCUUCCCAGCCAGUGAGAGGAACAAGAUCUCUGGCUGCAACAGCUGUCUCCUUCAACAGUUUGCAAACUAAGUUCAUACAAGUACACUGAAGGCAGGAUGUUCCCUCAUCAUCUUUUUGGCCUGCAAAGCAGAAUGAAAGUCUUCUGAGAACAGGAGCUCUCCUGAGAGCUUAUGAACUUCAGGCCAGGACAGAGAGUCUCCAGGAUUGGCAUUCCUGACAGUGUUUCAACAAUUCUCCUUCGAUCCCAGAUGGAACCUAUACAUGCAGAGGCAGCUGUAUUGCAGACAACAAACUCUGUACACCUGAACAUUUUCCAGCUUCUGAAAAAACUUUGGAGUUCAGUUUAAAUUUGGGAAGAAACAAGUCCAGGUUGAUUUUUUCUGUCUGUAUUAUUCAAUUCAUUUCCUAGCAAUGGACAGCCUGGAAAGUGGGCUGCCACGGAUGGCCAUGCCAAGAACAUCUCACAGUUUGGUAAAAGACUCCUCAGUGGGUCAGGCUCUGUGGGCCUUGCACACUGCAACAGGCGAGAUGCAAACCAGAAUGCUUAUAUAAUACGAGCAGCAGCACAUUCCAUAAAAAGACAAAAAGGAGCCUUGCUUACUAUGCUGAGCCAGUAGGAGCCACUUACAGAUGGAAAUCAUGGAAUCAUGAAGGUGGAAAAAGACCACUAAGAUUAUCUAGCCCAACCACCAAUCCAUCACCAUUAUGCCCACUGAACCAUGUCCCUCAGUGCCACAUCUACAUAUUUCUCGAACACAACCAGGGACAAUGACUCCACUACUUCCCUGGGCAGCCUAUUCCAAUAACUCAACCACUCUUUCUGAGAAGAAUCUUUUCUUAAUACCCAAUCCGAGCUUCCCCUGGUGCAACUUCAGGCCAUUACCUCUCACCCUAUCACUUGUUGCUUGGGAGAAGAGGUCGAUCCCCACAUCACCACAGUCUCAUUUCAGGCAGUUGUAGAAAUCAAUGUCUCCUCCAAGCCUCCUCCUCUCCAUACUAGACAAUCCCAUUCCCUCAGCCACUCUUCAUGAGACUUGUGAUCCAGACUCUUCGUAAAUCUCAUUUACUCUUGUCUGCAAAUGUGUGUCAUUCAAUGGUGUAUUCAACACUUCGGGAUAAUGCACAUGGAUUUCACUCACGUAAGGAUGGACAGAGGUAAGUAGGACAACCUUAUGCGAUGGAAGACACAUUUGAAAGCAGUGAUUCUGAAAAAAGAUUUGGAUCAUUAUCACCUCUGGUGCAACCCUAAGUCUAAAAGAACUGAUGAAAUAGUAGGAUUUAGGAACAGAAACAUGAAGCAGGAGGGAAAACAAUUCACUUUGUCCACAUAGUUCCUGGAGAAACACUAUAAGCCAGUCUUUCAUACAGAAUACAAGGAUGCAGAAAAAUUGAGGAGGGCUCAGAAAAGAUCCACAAGAACUAUAAAGGAAUAGAAAUCCUAUCACCCAGGAAAAGAUAAAAGCUCAAAGGAGAUUUGGGAAUAGUCAGUCUGUGAGCACCUACACAGGAAAUUAUGAAAGAAACUCACUUUGACCUGAUAAGUGAUAUGGAUAGUUGGAAGGCAAUGUGGAGAAACUAAGAUUAGAAAUCAUAUGCAGAUUUUUAACAUCAAAAGCAACUAACCAUUAAACUGAUCUACCAAAAACUCUGUGAAGUUUCUAAAUCACCGGAGUGCUUUAGGUAGGUUAGGAGUUGUUUUAAAGAAUUAUUCUACUUCUCACGGGAGCUCAACCAGAGACAUGCUGCAGUUCGCGAUAUGCAGCAGCUUCUGCAACGCGAUCACUUUAAUGAUUUUUGACCUUUUAAUCUGUGAAAUGGUGAGUUAAUUUCUAAACAGCUGUUCUCAUGACUGUGCAUGGGAAAAAUAAUGGCAACAGUUGUUUAGGUACAGGCAGUUCCAUCUCACUCCCCUUGUGCUUAGGAAUUUAGAAAUAGCUGAAUGAAUAU